GCGCACCAGUCGAGAAUACUCCACAAUGCGCGAAAGCGCGAUGGGGCUAUCCCGAGUGCCGUCCGCUGAGGAUGGCUUUUCUCCAGUGUAAGGAGCUGGAGGAAUAAGGAGAGGGCAAGUCUGGUGUCAGCCGCCGCGGUAAUACCAGCUCUCCGAGUGGUAGGGACGUUUAUUGGGCUUAAAGCGUCCGUAGCCGGCUCAGCAAGUCCUCCGUUAAAUCCAGCGAUUCAAUCGUUGGACUGCGGGGGAUACUGCUGGGCUAGGGGACGGGAGAGGCCGACGGUAUUCCCGGAGUAGGGGUGAAAGUCCUAUAAUUCCGGGAGGACCACCAGUGGCGAAGGCUGUCGGCUAGAACGAGCUCGACGGUGAGGGACGAAAGCUGGGGAGCGAACCGGAUUAGAUACCCGUGUAGU
rnacentral:rRNA from 1 species